GCAGUCGUGGCCGAGUGGUUAAGGUGAUGGACUAGAAAUCCAUUGUGGUCUUCUCGCACAGGUUCGAAUCCUGUCGACUGCG
rnacentral:tRNA from 1 species